AACGAACGCUGGCGGCGUGGAUAAGACAUGCAAGUCGAACGGGAUUAUUUUUGUAGCAAUACAGAAAUAAUUUAGUGGCGAACGGGUGCGUAACACGUGGGCAAUCUGCCGAAAAGUGGGGGAUAGCUCGCCGAAAGGCGAAUUAAUACCGCAUGUGGUGAGGGACGACAUCUUCCUGAAUCCAAAGCCGGGGUCAAACCUGGCGCUUUUUGAGGAGCCCGCGGCCUAUCAGCUAGUUGGGAGGUAACGGCUCACCAAGGCUAUGACGGGUAGCUGGUCUGAGAGGACGACCAGUCACACUGGAACUGAGACACGGUCCAGACACCUACGGGUGGCAGCAGUCGAGAAUUUUUCUCAAUGGGGGCAACCCUGAAGGAGCGACGCCGCGUGGAGGAUGAAGG
rnacentral:rRNA from 1 species